UACGUAGGGCGCAAGCGUUUGUCCGGAAUUAUUGGGCGUAAAGAGCUCGUAGGCGGUUUGUCGCGUCUGCUGUGAAAACCUGAGGCUCAACCUCGGGCUUGCAGUGGGUACGGGCAGACUAGAGUGCGGUAGGGGGUGACUGGAAUUCCUGGUGUAGCGGUGGAAUGCGCAGAUAUCAGGAGGAACACCGAUGGCGAAGGCAGGUCACUGGGCCGCAACUGACGCUGAGGAGCGAAAGCAUGGGGAGCGAACAGG
rnacentral:rRNA from 1 species